UGACCACAUUCUAAAGGAACAGUACUACUCUCGGUUUGUCAUUGUUAGAGUCUGGAAGAAACAUUUAGGCUAUUUUGAAAGUACUAUCACACUGAAUAUAAGGAAGAGUGGCAAGAAAUUAUCUUUGAGAAAAUACCUGUGCAGCUUAAGUUCGUUAAGCCACAUGGGGGAAGGAAGUGUCUUUAGGCUGAGGAGGCAGCAUGUGUGAAGGCCUUGAGUAAGACCGCUGUCUGGCCUGUGCAUAGGUUGGUUGUUAAAGAGGCUCUAUGAUUUUCGGUUACUUUCUCCAGACAGCUCCUCCGGUGGAACCAGUAGAGCUGUGUUUAGAAAAGAAACUUGCACUAUGAGCUAAUACCAGCCCAUUCAUAUCUGACUUGUGCCUGAGGAACUGAGGUGAUCUCUCAAGGACCUACUGCCUGGAACUAUAAAGACCUAUCUGUGUCAGUCCACACACAACUGAAAACCUGCCGGAACUUUUCCCAAAACAGAGGCUACCCUAGAGCUGACACCAAUGUUCUGCCACUACCAUAGCAAAACCGCAGUCCUGAAAGAGUGCGAGAAACAGAAGUGCAAAUAUGCAAAAGUAGGAGUUUGUCCAGAGUUAUGAAAAGCAGCAAAGAAAGAACCCUGGGGGGGAAAAAAAAGUAAGGCUCAUGAUGUUGACGAGUGAAAAGACGGCUAAAUGUAGAGUGGGAUGCGAGCAUGCUCUCCUUCAUGAUCAGCCCCUUUGUUCCUGUACUGUACCCCCAUUCUAAUGUCAGAUACAGCAGAAUAUGGAAAAGAUGAGGGUUUGAAUUUUGCCUCUAACGCUUAGCAUUUUGUGCCCUUGGCAAAAGUAUCUGUACCUUAAUUCUUACAGGGUUACAGUCAGAAUAAAUGAGACACCCUGUAUAAGAAAUAGGUUACCAUGCCUUGACAUAGAUAUAGAUAUAAGCAAAAUAGAAACCUUGUCUUUAACUGUAUAAUUUAAUAAACUACUUUGUAAAUUAUAGUUGUAUAACACUUGUAUCAAUUUAUCAAAUUCUUUAAAAAAUUAGUUCUUGACAUCUUUGAUGGAGCUACUUGAAAUGCAUUUUCUCCAUCUCUUUUAAAGAGGUCUGUUAUAUAUUGUGACAAACGUUUUAGAUAUUUGUAGACUAAUUUUAUUGGGAGGGCUUGAUCGAUUUUAUGAACUACAUUUAAAACUACUUUUUAAAAAACCAAUUACCUCUAUAUAUGUUUUGCUCUUAGCCACUUCAACAAGGCAGAGUAACUUCACUAUUGCAUACUAUAUGGACAUUUUAACAGAACCCUGUAUAUAUAAAAAAAAUUAAUAGCUAAUUCAAAACCCUGACAGAACAACAAAAGGCUACCUGGAGUAUAUAAAUAUUUUUUGAAGUGGUUUUGUCAUCAGUUUUCUUCCACUUUUAAAAAUAGAUUGCCUUCUGUCUUUGAAGAUACUACAGUUUCACAUGAAGAUUUUCUACCAAAAUGUAGGUGAUAUAUAUUUGGAAAUCAUUAAGAGUCAGACAGUGUUGCUAGAGUCAAAUAACCCCUCAGAGAUAUACCUGUGGUUUCUUUAGUUCUUUUUAGUUAUCUCUCCAUUCAGGACACUUACUUUCUUAAAAUAGUACUCUCAUUUGAAAGCUUUCAUGUUGAAUUAGUGACUGUAAUGGAAAGACUGUGCUCCUAAACUCCUGAAAUCCUCUUUGGAAUAUAAUUCCAUGUAUACAGUUAAGAGAGUUUAAAAAAUCCUAAGUCUGCCUGUUAUACUGGUACUAUUGGAAAUUGAAAAAGAAUCAAAUAUUUAAAUAUAUUAAGUGGGUAUGCUUGCAGUCUCA